rnacentral:lncRNA from 1 species
CCAUUUCUCUGCUGAGAUUUUCAUGUACUGAAAAUAUGUUUUGUUUUACUUCACUGAUGAUAGUUAUAACAGCUGGUUUAAAAUUCUUAUAUGUAAAUUCCAACACUUGGUUCACUCAAAUAAGAAUGUGUUCUAUUUUCUUGGUUCUUUGUAUAUCAAGUUAAUUUGGGAUUGUAUCACGAGUUGUAGAGAGUCUAGAUUCUGUUAUUUUUAAUGAGUAUUGUUUCCUUUGUUUUAGGAGAUCAUUCUCCUAGCUAAUCUCUAUAAACUUUUUCUUGUGCAGAUCUUUUAUUUUUAGUUAGGCUGCUCUGAGUCUAUUCUGGGCACAUAUGAUUGAAAGGUGAGUCACAGAUACAGGAAGACAAAAAUCUAGAGAUUUCUUGUCUAACUCCUCCCCUUGCAAGCUACACUCUCUUUGGCAUUCCCAGUUUCCUAGUUUCUCAUUUCUGGUUUACCAGACCAGAAGGCAUUAAAUUUUUCUAUGUCUGCACCAUUGCUACCCAUUUCACAAUGUACAGACUGCAUUUAGUCCCUGGCUGAAUGGGACUUAUUUGUAUAUUCCUCAUUUCCCUCCUUCAAGUGAAUAUAAAUUAUUUCUGAGGGUGGUACAAAGAAAGAAAUGUACUGCAUCCUAAGCUAUUCAAGGAAAGGUAUGAAGGUAUGAAAGCAAACAGUUAAACACAAUGAGGUGGGAAAUAAUGCUGUAAUACUGUUAGGAUUAAAUUAUGUAAAUUAUUGAAUGCUAGCUAGGCCUGAGUAUGGCCAAUAAAUUUUAGGUGCAAGAAUAUAAUCAUAUCUAUAUUUUAGAUUAAGAUCAAUAUAUCUGUGCUAUUUAAAAUGAACUACAAUAUGGAAAAUGAAUGGAGGUAGGGAGAUUAGUUAGGAGGCAGUCCUAGUAGUGCAAGUAGAUGGCAAAGAGGUCUUAACUGGAUGAGUGGCAGAUGAUAUAAAAAGGAAAAUUUAGAAGUGAGAUGAUUUAGGAAAUGAUGAAUGAUCCCCAAAUUCUUUAACAAUCAGAAAUAUCACAAAAAGAUUAAAUUUUAUUGUUACCAGACAGGAAGUAUAGCUUUUCAUUAUUUAUUUAAUAGGGAAGAUCACAAUGAAAGCAAAUCAUUGUAACAUUAUUUCUCUAGACAUAUGAUCCAGGUUUAACUGGUGAGUGACAAACAUGGGCUCUGGUAUCAGAUACCAUAUAGUAGGCAUCCUUUAAUCAUGAUAUACAUGUACUGGUGGGAAAUGAAAAUCAACCUUAUUUCCAAACUACUUCCCAGUAGGGUGUAAAAAAGCUGUCAUUUAUCCAAGGUUAAUCCCAGUACUUUCUCUGUUACAAUCUCAUCAACACUUUUAUACCCAAAGAGCCUGUACUGAAGACUGAAAAAGACUGAAAUAUCUACUUGAUUUGAGAAACUAUAAAAACUAAGAGGGCUUUCAAAAACCAUCACUACCAUAAGGAACAAAACUCCGACUAAAUCAAUACAUAAAAGCACCUAAAAAGAACUCUUAUCUUUAGGGGUUCUGGUUGGCUCUGUUGGAAGAACAUUCAACUCUUGCUCUCAGGGUUGUGAAUUCGAGUCCCAUAUUGGGUGUAAAAAAUAGAUUACUAAAAAAAAAAAUUAAAUAAAACCAAAAAAGUACUCUUCAUCUUCAAAGCACUUUACCCUCAUUAACUAAUUAACAAUAAAGACUCUGAAGUCAGUAGAUCCACAAAUUUAUAAAUUUAUAUAGAAAAAUUCAUUCAUUAAUAAGCAAUACUUUAACAUUAUUAUAAUUCCUAAUUUUCUUUUUGACUAUAUGCGAAUAUUUUUCUUAUAUAUUGAGAAUAGAGUGCAGACAUCAAUAGUCCCUAUCUCUUCCACAACAAGAAUAAAUGCUUUUAUACAUGGUAGCUUAUAUUUAAGUAUGAUAAAAGCAAAAUAACUGGGCCUUUAUUUUCCCAAAGGGCAGUAGGAGGAAGAAAAAGUAACCAAGAUUAAUAGGAAAAAUUGUAAAAGCAGGGCUCCUUGGUGAAAAGUAAAGCAGUUGAAAUUCUUCAUGAGAAAUCUGGUAAAAGAUGAUGAAAAUCUUAGUAAAAUUUGGUUUUAGAGAGUUAACAAAAAUGUACUGAGAUUUGUUUGAUUUGAAAUUAUAACUUUUACUCAGAAGCUUCAAGAUAGCAGGACAAAUGUGAUCUCUUUAAAAACCUGCAAUUCUGUUGCUUAUUACCACUUCAAAUAUGGUACUUGAAGAGGGAGUACUUCCCUUUUACUAGAAUACUUCCCUUUUAUUAAUGUUUGACUAGUGUUGACAGGUAUAUGAGAAAUUCACCUGAAACUCAGCAAAAAUAAUUAUUAUAUGCUACCUCACUAAACUUCAUAGAAAUUCAAAUUAAAACAAUUGAGAGGGACACCUGGGUGGCUCAGCAGUUGAGCCUCUGCUCAGGGCAUGGUCCUGGAGUCCAUGGCUCCCUGCCAUGGAUCGAGUCCCACAUCGGGCUCCCUGCAUGGAGCCUGCUUCUCUCUCUGCCUGUGUCUUUGCCUCUCUCUCUGUGUCUCUUAUAAAUAAAUAAAUAAAACCACUUAAAAAAUUGAGAAACCAGUUAAUCAUCUAUCAAAUUGCUCUAAAAUGGAAAAAUAUGUCCAUGUCUAGCAAUUGGCUAGGUGAUUGGGUAUUUUAUACAGUACCAAAAAAAAGUACAAGUUUUCUCAAGUGUGAUGAGGCAUAUAUAAAACAUCCCUAAAUACAAAGAAACAAAAUACAGUAGAAAAACUUUCAUGUCUUUUGAUCUUACAAUUAAGUUCUAAGAAUUUGCCUUAAAGGAAGCAAUGAUAUGUUCAAUGUUUAAUUUAUAUGCAGAAAUAAUUUUCCACAGGGUGUUCAGUACAGUGUUACUUCUAAUCGGGAAAUGAGAGACAACAUAAAUGUUCCAUUGAUAACUUAAGAGAAGAUAGCAAUAUGACAGACUAUUAUACAGUUAUUGAAAUGGAGAUGUUCCUUAAUGAUGUCAAAAAAUGUUCCUAAGACAAAUCAAGAAACAGAGAUUUAGUUACAGAGAAUAAACUGAGGAUUACCAGCAGGAAGGGGACGGGGGAAUGGGUGAAAUAGGUGAUGGGGAUUAAGGAGUGCACUUGUGAUGAGCACUGGGUGAUGUAUGGAAGUGUUGAAUCACUAUAUUGUACACCUGAAACUAACACAGCACUGUAUGUUAACUGGAAUUAAAAUAAAAACUGAAAAAAAAGUUUGUAAAAUAUAACUAGGUUUAAAAAGAAUAAAAACUACAUAUAGAAUCCCAGUUUUGCCAAAAAUAAUGCACAUAUAAUCCUAAUUAAACAAAUGAAAGACUAAUAACAAAAUGCUACAUGAAAAUGUAUAUAUCACAAAUUUUCUACUAUAAGCGUAUUUCAUUCAGCAUCACCUUCAUAAUAAGAUUGCAUUUAGUUACUAAAAAAACAGCCACAUAUGCCCCUACCCACAUGCAGUGCACUCUAGAUACUGUGGCCCUAAUGGUAUACAUGAACCUUCUGCUCUGUCACUGCAGUUCUGAAUGAGUCCCUCAAAGAUCAUUCUGAGUAUCUAUCACAUGGUCAGUCACCUGAGAGUGAAUACAUCAAACUGUCAUGAGUUUGGGGACCCAAAUGAUUGCCCUCUACUGCAGACCAAUACUAAACGUGUGUCCUAGGCAAGAUUAGUUCUCUAGAGGUGAGAAGCUGGUGCAUUAACCAGGUUUUAUAUUAAAUGUCUUCAUCAUUUGCGAGCAGCCAGAUGGUUGGUAAUAUGUGUAGAUAUUUUGAAACAUAGGCUGGCUGAUUUCAAUUAGCUUUGAAGUGAGACAAAUGAUAUUGAGGAUCUAUAUUGCUAAGCCCAGGGGUACUAAGAGAAUAUUUUCUUACAGAUGAAUACCCCAUCAGCUAGUGCUCCUGAUUAUAUAAUACAGCUAAUACGUUAUUCCGGAACACAUUUGCUAUUGGAAAGAAUCUCUGUUAUGAAGCACCUAACUGGGCAAACAUUUUAUGGCCAAGAUUGGGAAACUGGCUAAUGUGAGUGAGGAAAAGGAAACUAAAGAAACAAAAAAACAAAAAACGAACAAGAACAACAACAAAAAAAACCAGACACCAAUAUAGCCUAUAUGUUUGUGUUUCAGAAUACACCAAGUUUUGUAAAGGAUUUUGGCAGCAAAUAAAAAUAUUUCUAUGGUAAAUUGCAGUCAUUUGGGGCCAAAUCAAAGGCUCUGCCUGAAAAGAUUAGUAGCUGAACAAGUGUUGGCUUUUUUCAGGCUUGGCAGGCAAUGCCAACUUUAUGUCAUGUUCCUCAAGGUACCAGCUGUGUUGUUCCUGAUGAUUCUCCUCUAUACUGAGAGAAAGGACAUAGUUGAGUCUGGAAAAUGCCACUACUUGGGUAUAUCUUGACCUCAAAAUCAGGUAAAUAAGAAUAAAUGAAUGAUUAAUUCCCUUAUUCAAAAUAAGGUUGAGAAUCUAAAAUUUAAUUUCUUUUCUGAACCACAGAGAUUCUAACAGACACUCAGAAGUGAUUUGACUCCAAGUCUACCAAAGAAAUCAAAUGAAUUAUUUUUUAAAAACUGGAAGUCAAACAGAAACAUAAAAAAUUUAAGAAUGUAAUUUAACCCUUAAUUUUCUUCCAUAGUAAACAAUCCACACAUUUUUUUUCUUGUUAGCUACAUUGGUAAUAAAAUAUCUGAUGCUAAGGGGGAUGGAUCCCUGGGUGGCGCAGCGGUUUAGCGCCUGCCUCUGGCCAGGGUGCGAUCCUGGAGACCCGGGAUUGAGUCCCACGUCGGGCUCCCUGCAUGGAGCCUGCUUCUCCCUCUGCCUAUGUCUCUGCCAAUCUCUCUCUCUCUCUGUGUGUGACUAUCAUAAAUAAAUAAAAAUUAAAAAAAAUAAAAUAAAAUAUCUGAUGCUAAGAAAAUGAAAUAGUUUUAAUGUUUGUUUCAUUCCAUUCAGUGAAUGCUUACUAUUUAUUAAAUGCCUCCUACCCUGUAUAUACUAUGCCAGGUGCUUCAUAUACAUUAUUGCUGAUCACCAUCCCAACAACCUUAUACAGGUAAGUAUUUUCAUUUUACAGAAUGAUGAAUUGAGAGUCAAUGAAAUUUAGUAACCUCACCCAGAUCGUACAGCCCAAAUCCUACUCUCAAACUCAUGCUCCUUCCACAUCAUCACACUUAAAUGGGAAGGUCUCCGUUAAGGCAAGAGCUCUCAGUGAUUCAAUUUUCUUGGACACAGAAGCAGUGAAAGACUCCUCUGGGGCAUACACUAUAGCUCUGAGACACAAGUUCCCACUAAUAAUGGAACAGGUCUUCCAGAUGCAAUUUUGUCAUUGAAUAAAUAAGGAUUAUGAAAUAGUCUGAACUCGCAAAAUAAAGGGAAAACGGCUAAUCUUAUAGGCAAAAAGGCAAACAGAGAGUAAGGAGACAGGAGCACCAGGUAGUAAGAAUAAUUAUUUAGACUCUUCCUACUCAAAAUGUAGUCCACUAACCAGCAGUAUCAGUAUCACGGGUGAGCUUGUUAGAACUGCAAUCUUGUCCCAAAUUCAGACCUACUGAAUCUGACUUUGUUUUAAAAAGAUUAGUAUGUCAUAAAAGCUUGAGAAGCAAUGAUGUUAAUUAUAAUUAAGCCAGUACUGACUAAAUGAUGUCCAAAGCUAGUUCAAAGAAGUAGAAAUUAGCCUACAGCCAACAAAUGCCUCCAGGAAAAACAGGUAUUUUAAUGCAUUUACAUCAUUUGACUAAUUCUGUAAAUUGUAAACGGUAGCUUCUGCUUCACUUGCUAUGAGCACUUUUGUUUCAAAUUUUUAAGUCAUUAUUCCAUUCUUUUAAUCCUACCUGGUAAGAUCGGAUUUCUUCUUUCACCUUUUGCCCACUCGUUCUUAGCUAACAUCCAAGUCUCAAUAGAAAAGCAACAACAGCACAUGCCUAGUCAGAGUUUUACCUUAGAGUAAAAUUUAAGCAGGGCCGAAGGGCCAAGAUAUGAUCCUGCAUUUAUAACCAAGGGUUGUUUUCACCCAAAUUCAAGGUUUUCCUUAUGACCUAACUAUAGUAGCAAGCAAUCCUGACAUUACCCCACAAAAUGCAAUUUUCUGUAAUCAAUAGUGUACUCAAAUACUGUGGCUGAAGGAAAGGAUUUAUGGAUUCUUUUGUCAAAACAAAAGAUCUUGUAAAAAAUUUUUCUCUUACAUAGCUAGCCACUACCGAGACCAUUAAUACUAGUGUGAAGAGUGGUAAUGCAUUUGAUCAUAGAGUACUUCAUUAAAUC